UACGGGGGGGGCAAGCGUUGUUCGGAAUUACUGGGCGUAAAGGGCUCGUAGGUGGCCAACUAAGUCAGACGUGAAAUCCCUCAGCUUAACUGGGGAACUGCGUCUGAUACUGGAUGGCUUGAGUUUGGCAGAGGAGACUGGAAUUCCUGGUGUAGCGGUGGAAUGCGCAGAUAUCAGGAGGAACACCGGUGGCGAAGGCGGGUCUCUGGGCAGUAACUGACGCUGAGGAGCGAAAGCGUGGGGAGCGAACAGG
rnacentral:rRNA from 1 species